rnacentral:rRNA from 1 species
UGGAUGAUGUGGUUUAAUUCGAUGCAACGCGAAAACCUUACCCACCUUUGACAUGGCAGGAAUCCUGAAGAGAUUGGGAGUGCCCGAAAGAGAACCUGCACACAGGUGCUGCAUGGCUGUCGUCAGCUCGUGUCGUGAGAUGUUGGGUUAAGUCCCGCAACGAGCGCAACCCUUGCCAUUAGUUGCUACGAAAGGGCACUCUAAUGGGACUGCCGGUGACAAACCGGAGGAAGGUGGGGAUGACGUCAAGUCCUCAUGGCCCUUAUAGGUGGGGCUACACACGUCAUACAAUGGCCGGUACAGAGGGUAGCCAACCCGCGAGGGGGAGCCAAUCCCACAAAGCCGGUCGUAGUCCGGAUCGCAGUCUGCAACUCGACUGCGUGAAGUCGGAAUCGCUAGUAAUCGCGGAUCAGCAUGUCGCGGUGAAUACGUUCCCGGGUCUU